rnacentral:rRNA from 1 species
UUUUUCUUGUGGUUUGUAUAUCGUCGUGGUUUGAAUAUUUUAUAAGGAUUUUAAUGUUCAAUAAUUAUUAUUUUAAUUGAUGUCAGAUCAAGGUGCAGCUUAUGGGAAAGAAGAGAUGGGUUACAAUAAGGUUAUUUCUGGUUUGGGAUUUUUAAUAUUCUCAUUAAAUUGGAUUUGAA